rnacentral:rRNA from 1 species
GACGGAGGGUGCAAGCGUUGCUCGGAAUCAUUGGGCGUAAAGGGUGCGUAGGUCGGCUUUUUAAGUCUGACGUGAAAGCCCAAGGCUUAGCCUUGGAAGUGCGCCAGAAACUGAAAGGCUAGAGUGCCGGAGGGGAGAGUGGAAUUCCUGGUGUAGCGGUGAAAUGCGUAGAGAUCCGGAGGAACACCAGUGGCGAAGGCGACACGCUGGGCCGUACCUGACGCUAAAGCGCGACAGCAUGGGGAGCAAACGGG